AUAGACAUCACAAAAAAAAAAUGUCAUUUUUAAAUAAAAUUACUCGAUAAAUUAAAAAUCUGAUCAUCAAUUAAAAGUAAAGGUAUCACCGCCUCGCACCUGGACACGAUCCGCGCUUGCGUGCUCCGGGGGAUAGUUUACAAAAUUUUUUAAAUUUUUCCAGUAGACAGUAGGACGUACGAGGGUGAGCAUCUGCGGGAUAUGGUUUUGAACCUCGUCGACUCCGCUGACCUCAAGCAGCAGCAGUUGAUGAUGGACACAAGUACGACGACCGGACGAAGAUGGAAUUCGUCGGGGAUAACGCAUCACCGGGAGAGUAUUAUAAACGUGGGUGCCUCGAGUGGUAAAAGAAUCCCCACUUAUGUCGAGCCCACCACUCAUCAAAAAAUAAAUCGUAUUAUUGAAGAGCACAAGACUAAGUCUUCAAGAGAACGCGCCAAGUCUUUGUCAUCGUCGUCUUCUUCAAAUUUGCCGAAUUAUCUCGUCGCGUCAAGAGGUGAAUUGUCACGGGGGUUUUUUACCAUACCAGAAAGUUGUCGGAAUAAUUUUGUGCUGACGGACAGACGCAAAAGUUCUGUUAGCGAGUUGGUGAACGGGCGGGAAGAUUUUAGCAGAGCUAGGAUCAGUUCCAAGGGAAAUUGGGAUCGGAGGCGCGAGGACAGAUCAAGUUCUAGGUCAAGAAGUGUCAAGAAUAAAUCCGCUGCAAAAGACGGACUGGGAGCUAUUCCACCUGGCAAAUUACCCACCGAUGGAAUACUAAAGCAAUCAAAAAAUUUUGUUUAUAAAUCCGCUGACAAGGAAGUUCUGCGGGCGUUUAAAAAAAGUACGCCCAGUCGAGUGGUUAAAUCGACGAGCUACCAAACUCUCAGUACAUCGGAUUUUAAAAAAGACGGACGGAUUAAUUUUAAUAAUAACAGUAACUCGCGAUUGGUUAAAAAAUCCGUGUCUUUUAGUUCGGACACGAGUUUCGUCGCCAAACGGUUGCCUGCGCGCAAACCUGCAGUUCAUGAAGCCAAAGUUUACCACAAAGGUGUCCUGAGAGACAUAAAAAAUUUUGAUCAGCCAAAAAAAAAAGUGAGGGAAAUAAAAGAGAAUAUGAACCAGUUGCUGUUGAAAGCCGCGCGCGACGCCGAUGAACUCGCGCUCAGUGACACGAUCUCCAGGAUACAGAGGUCCAGCGAACCUAUUGAUGUUAAUUUGAGAGACGCUAGUGGCAGGACUGUGAUAAGUUACUUGGCUGGUAAUGGUGCCGCUGAAGUAUUGGAGACGGUGCUGAAUUUUCCCGACGCAGAGGUCGAUGCUGCAGACAAUGAAGGGAACACGGCACUCCAUUUUGCCGCUCAAGCCGGACAAGCCGAGUGUCUGAAUAUUUUGCUGCAGAAGAGCACGAGCGUCGAGUUGGACACCCGUAACAUUUUAGGAUUCACUCCGCUGAUGAAAGCCGCGCUCCAAGGACGAACCAAGUGUGCUAAAAUUCUCCUAUUUGCUGGAGCCAACCCAACUCUGAGAGACCACGGGCGAGGGUUAAAAGCCGAGCAGUGGGCGAGAUUUUGCGGGCGACAUGUGUGCGCUGACGUUAUCGAGCGGUUCACUAGGCAUCGAUUGAUGGAAAAGACUUCCUGUCGCUGGGGAAGCGAACCAGAGCUCGCGGCUAAGGUUCUCCAAGGAAAGGUCCUGCCAGUUCCUUUCACUCCAGCGCCGGUGGCAUCAUCCGGAUUUAAAUCAAAACUCAAGCGCGUCUUCCGCAAUGUCGGGGCAGAUAAAAGUUUCUCGUUGGUUUCCCAGCUCACCAAUGCCGCCCUGUGUGCCAGCACUCCCGCAUUACCUAAACCUGGUGACGCUCCAGUUAAAAACCUUAUCAGGCCGCUUAAUAUUCCUCAGCUCAGAGUGACGCUAGUCGCGCCUAUAGACAUAAUGGACAAAUGCGAGGUAAAUUACACGGAAAAACUUGAAGGCACGACAAAAAAACCGCCGCGUUUAAAAAAAAAGACAAAGUAGCAUCAGUUUAGAUCGUCGUCAUUAAUAAAUUGCUGUGGUUUUCACGGGACACCGGUACUGGAUGACAAAAGUAUGCGCUAAGCGCAAAGUCAAAGACUUGGUGGUGGACUGAUGGAAAGACAUAAUGAUUGUUAAAUAAAUA